rnacentral:rRNA from 1 species
CCCUUAGUUGUCCUGGGCUGCACGCGCGCUACACUGACGAUGGCAACGAGUUUUUCCUUCGCCGAAAGGUGUGGGUAAUCUUUUGAAACAUCGUCGUGCUGGGGAUAGGUCAUUGCAAUUUUUGAUCUUGAACGAGGAAUUCCUAGUAAGCGCGAGUCAUCAGCUCGCGUUGAUUACGUCCCUGCCCUUUGUACACACCGCCCGUCGCUACUACCGAUUGAAUGGUCUAGUGAGGACUCCUGAUUGGCGCCGCCGCCCCGGCAACGGAGCAGCGGACUGCCGAAAAGUUGUUCAAACUUGAUCAUUUAGAGGAAGUAAAAGUCGUAACA